rnacentral:rRNA from 1 species
UACGGAGGAUGCGAGCGUUAUCCGGAUUUAUUGGGUUUAAAGGGUGCGCAGGCGGAAUGUCAAGUCAGCGGUAAAAUCGAGGGGCUCAACCCCUUUAAGCCGUUGAAACUGGUGAUCUUGAGUGGGCGAGAAGUAUGCGGAAUGCGUGGUGUAGCGGUGAAAUGCAUAGAUAUCACGCAGAACUCCGAUUGCGAAGGCAGCAUACCGGCGCCCGACUGACGCUGAAGCACGAGAGCGUGGGUAGCGAACAGG